AUGUUACUUAUUCUGUUUACCGCCGUACUUUCGGCACUUUCUGUUGUUAUUCCACAGUGUCAGCCGCCUAAUGGUUCGUUUUUUCUUAAAUUUGCGCGUCAAACAUGAUGUUCACAUUACAAUUCGCCGCAAAAAUUUGAGUUUCAAGUAAUUUUAUUGGAAAGAAGCGAAAUAUUUACGGGAUUUCAAAUUUGCGAUUUUUGGUUACAAUACACAAUGUUUGACAUGCAAUUUUCAACGAAGUAUGCAAUUACGCUAUACCGCACUUUUUCUAGGUCUCGAAGCGAUUUUUUCAACAAAUAAAGUUUGCAGACUGUUCUGUGCACGUGUUCAGUGUCCGACUCUCCCAAAAACCAGAAGCUGAAGAUCCAGAAAAUACUACUUACAGUGCGGUACGAAACAAUGAGUACGGUACGAACUACUACGAGAUACGUGGCGGAAAAGAAAUGACACCGAAAUUGGCGGCCGAAAUUAUUCAGAGUAUGGGAAAAGACGCCGAUCCUAGGCUUAAAGAAAAAAUAAAUAACAAAGAAUUCUACUGGAAAGCCGUCGAACCAGGUGGCUCACGUGUCAUUUCUGCUUCACUUCCACCACCGCCUACGCAGAAGAAAGAGCAAACGUCUACGCCAAGUUCCUAUUCCUUCAAGCCAUCUGAUUUCCCGUGGAUUCUUGUCGGAUUACUCUUCUGCAUUGGAAUUUUCAUGGGCGUCAUGCUUACCGCUUGUUACCAUUUUAUAAAUAAUAUGCAAAAGGAGCCACAAUUCGAUCGUUCCAGUGCCAUUAUAUAUAAUAAAGCUGGCGAUAGUGUGGGCUCCGAGAGCCGCCGUCCGAUGCUUCCCAGGCGGAGAGAGCAGCAAAUUGAGCUUAUAGAACGGGCAUCUGUGGCACCUUCUAUGUCCUCUGGAACACGAAUAGGCCCUGCGUGGCGGAACACUAAUGGGACUCCAGCUGUUAUAAUCACCACGUCAUCAACACCCAGCCGACACAUAUCGCUUUAA